GGAGGGUGCGAGCGUUGUCCGGAAUCACUGGGCGUAAAGGGCGCGUAGGCGGCCUGAUAAGUAGGGGGUGAAAUCCUGCGGCUUAACCGCAGGGCUGCCUUCUAAACUGUCAGGCUAGAGCACGGUAGAGGCAGAUGGAAUUCCCGGUGUAGCGGUGGAGUGCGUAGAGAUCGGGAAGAACAUCAGUGGCGAAGGCGGUCUGCUGGGCCGUUGCUGACGCUGAGGCGCGACAGCGUGGGGAGCAAACAGGAUUAGAUACCCUGGUAGUCCACGCCGUAAACGAUGGGCACUAGGCGUCGGGGGGAGCGACCCUCCCGGUGCCGUCGCUAACGCAGUAAGUGCCCCGCCUGGGGAGUACGGCCGCAAGGCUG
rnacentral:rRNA from 1 species